GGAUUAGAUACCCUGGUAGUCCACGCUGUAAACGAUGGUCACUCGAUAUAGGUUUCUUCGGAAGCCUGUGUCCUAGCGAAAGCAUUAAGUGACCCACCUGGGGAGUACGUUCGCAAGAAUGAAACUUAAAGGAAUUGACGGGGGCCCGCACAAGCGGUGGAGUAUGUGGUUUAAUUCGAUCAACGCGAAGAACCUUACCUAGGCUUGACAUCCUGCGAACCUUUUUUAAACGAAAGGGUGCCCUUCGGGGAAUGCAGUGACAGGUGCCGCAUGGCUGUCGUCAGCUCGUGUCG
rnacentral:rRNA from 1 species